rnacentral:rRNA from 1 species
CAGUCGCCGCGGUAAUACGAAGGGGGCUAGCGUUGCUCGGAAUGACUGGGCGUGAAGGGCGCGUAGGCGGCGAUCAAAGUCAGGCGUGAAAUUCCUGGGCUCAACCUGGGGGCUGCGCUUGAUACUUGGUUGCUUGAGUGGGGUAGAGGGUCGUGGAAUUCCCAGUGUAGAGGUGAAAUUCGUAGAUAUUGGGAAGAACACCGGUGGCGAAGGCGGCGACCUGGUCCUUGACUGACGCUGAGGCGCGAAAGCGUGGGGAGCAAACAGGAUUAGAUACCCCAGUAGUCCCUGUCUCUUAUAC